rnacentral:miRNA from 1 species
AGGGUUUAUCCUGUCUGCCA